rnacentral:rRNA from 1 species
GGUUAAGCGACUAAGCGUACACGGUGGAUGCCCUGGCAGUCAGAGGCGAUGAAGGACGUGCUAAUCUGCGAUAAGCGCCGGUAAGGUGAUAUGAACCGUUAUAACCGGCGAUUUCCGAAUGGGGAAACCCAGUGUGAUUCGUCACACUAUCAUUAACUGAAUCCAUAGGUUAAUGAGGCGAACCGGGGGAACUGAAACAUCUAAGUACCCCGAGGAAAAGAAAUCAACCGAGAUUCCCCCAGUAGCGGCGAGCGAACGGGGAGGAGCCCAGAGCCUGAAUCAGCAUAUGUGUUAGUGGAAGCGUCUGGAAAGGCGCGCGAUACAGGGUGACAGCCCCGUACACAAAAGCGCAUGUGCUGUGAGCUCGAUGAGUAGGGCGGGACACGUGGUAUCCUGUCUGAAUAUGGGGGGACCAUCCUCCAAGGCUAAAUACUCCUGACUGACCGAUAGUGAACCAGUACCGUGAGGGAAAGGCGAAAAGAACCCCGGCGAGGGGAGUGAAAAAGAACCUGAAACCGUGUACGUACAAGCAGUGGGAGCCCCACCACCAAAGCAUUCUCUGGUGUUGAAGGCCCUGCAAAGCAGCAUCGCGGUGGCGGAGCGUCGUUUGCGACGCCCAACACACAAAACAAGCGGUGAGUGCUUUGGGGUGGGGUGACUGCGUACCUUUUGUAUAAUGGGUCAGCGACUUAUAUUCUGUAGCAAGGUUAACCGUAUAGGGGAGCCGUAGGGAAACCGAGUCUUAAC